AUUGAACGCUGGCGGCGUGCUUAACACAUGCAAGUCGAACGAACCUUCGGGUUAGUGGCGGACGGGUGAGUAACGCGUGGGAAUCUGCCCUCAGGAGGGGGAUAACGGCUGGAAACGGCCGCUAAUACCCCAUAUGCCGCGAGGUGAAAUGAAUUUCGCCUGAGGAUGAGCCCGCGUCUGAUUAGCUAGUUGGUGGGGUAAAGGCCUACCAAGGCGACGAUCAGUAGCUGGUCUGAGAGGAUGAUCAGCCACACUGGGACUGAGACACGGCCCAGACUCCUACGGGAGGCAGCAGUGGGGAAUUUUCCGCAAUGGGCGAAAGCCUGACGGAGCAACGCCGCGUGAGGGAUGAAGGCCUCUGGGCUGUAAACCUCUUUUCUCAAGGAAGAAGACCUGACGGUACUUGAGGAAUAAGCCACGGCUAAUUCCGUGCCAGCCGCCGCCGUAACAC
rnacentral:rRNA from 1 species